AAAUGGACCUACCUUGACUCUACGCAAAUUAUAUGGGUCGAUAAGAAAAUUUGAUCAUAAUAAAUUGAAAAUUAACAAACAAAAUAUUCAACCCGGCUAGCAACACUAUAUUAUUUCAAAAAAAUCAACUAGUUUGAUCAUCAAAAACUAUAUAUAUUGCUUUCUAUAUUUAAUUAAACACAAACAUUUGUUGGUAUCUUUUGUAGAUCAAAACGUUAUUUACAUUUUAGAAAUUAUGACUUUCUCUACAAGUAAAUUCAACACCAUUUUCAUUUUCCUCUAUCUUGUCCUUCUCUCUAUUUCCACAUGUGAGGCUACAGGAAGAUUUUGUGGAGCAGUAUGUAAAACAUGGUCAGGGCCUUGUAUUAAUAAUGCGGCCUGUAAUGUUGAGUGCCGUGAAUCGGAGUAUGCAAUAUUCGGUACUUGUGUAUACCUUGAUUGCUUCUGCUUCAUUGAUUGUUUUAUUCAGCCCUAAAUUUCAGAUCGAGCAUAAUUUCAUUUUGAUAAUUUCCGCAAAAUAAAAUACUCCCUCCGAUCUUAAAUAUAAGCAAAAAUUUAAAUGUAUUUGAUUCAAAUUUAAUUUUCUUAUACAUACUCCCCCUGACCACAAAAAUAAGAAAAAUGCACAUUUUAAAUUCAUUGAAGAACAUAUGUAUCUGGUGGUCUGUGUUAUAUAUAAUCCAGAUACAUCAAUUUUUCGAUGAAUCUAAAAAGUUCUAUUUUGCUAAUAAUUGUGACCGGUGGGAGUAUUUAAGAAAAUAAAAUACUCCCUCAGGUUCAUUAUUGAAGUAUAUGAUUCAGAUAAUAUAUUAUAGAUCCAUAUAUUAGUUACUCCUGUUUGAAUGAAUUUAAAAAAUGAAUCUUGUUUAUAUAUAGUAAGUGUUUAAAUGAAAUGAACUAAAAGUUAAUAUAAAAUAAACAUAUGUGCUAUUUUGUCCUAUCAUUCCUUUUGUAUGGAUAUAUUUUAAAAUUAUUUGUAUAAGUGGUGAAGUAGUAAAUUUUUAUUCAAUAUAUAUUAAUGCGAAUGUGAAUCUAAAGCUUUCCUCA